ACCUACACACACGUACCCCUCUAAUCUGUCAACUCCUUGGUGAGCCACACUCACCCUCCCUCAUGACUCACUCACCACCGCCAUUUUUCUUUCCCUUUACCCCACACCCACACACAUGAACAGAGACAGAUUAAGAGAAAGAAAGGGAGAAAGGGAAAAGGAAAAACAGAAGCAAAGAGAGAUCCGAGAGUGAGAGCUGGCGAUGGGAGGCAGAGGAGAGGCGAGGGGCUGUCCCGCGCCGGCGUUGCGCCUCACCGUCCGUGAAGCCACGCGUCUUCGUCUCCCCACCACCGAAUCAUCGCGCCACCGUCACCGUCGGGCUGCUGUGCCACCAUUGACAAUGGUUCAGGGAGAAAGGAAGCGCUGCGAUGAGGAACAGAACAGGAGCCCGUCGUGUUCGCUGCAAUCCCGUCAUCCGUGCCUUGCCGCCGCGCUGGAGUCGUCGCCGCCAACGCCAAGCCGCCAUCAGUCCCUCGUUGAUGAGGAAAGCGCGAACCAGAGAACGGAAGGGAAGCUUUGCCGCCGUUGAGCCACAUCGCCGCUGUUGGAGGAGCCAUCACCGCCAAACCCUAGCCAUCACUACCGCUACUACCAGCAAGAAGAAGGGGCUAGAGCCGCUGCUGCCCUAUCCGCGUUCCAAUUAGGUUCAACAUCAAUUGCUCUGAGCCAUUUCUAUUUCCAAUUCCAUUGGAUUCCAAUUUUCCGUAUCUACAAACCUGAUCACUGUUGUGGGAGCUAAUGUUGUGGCUGUUCCUCCGGUUGUGAUGGGGUGCAAUGCCGCUGUUAUCUUGACUAAAAUUGUUGCGUGGCUAGUAAUGGUCCAGUCAGCUGUCUCACCGUAAUUCCGCUUCCGAUUUCUUUUAAUAGUGACACUGAGGUAGGGGAUUUGUUUUAAAAAAUAAAUGUUUUAAGUUAUGAAUGCCAAUAAAAUUAAAUGAGUAACUGCAAAUGAUUUAUGGUUGCUUUGUGUGAAUAAUUGUUGGAAUUGAGUUGAAUCAUGGUUAUAGUUGGUGAUUGGUUUAAUGAUUUAAUGUAGUAAUUAUUGACGA